AUGUCCUGCCCGAACGCCAGCACGGCGAUGGCCGAGAACGUCUGCAUGAUGCCCGGGAUGAAGAAGGCGAUGCGCCACGCGACGAAGUCCGUGCUGCCGAUCUUGCGGACGAUCUCGUACACGAGCGGCAUGAUGAACUGCACGGCGCCCCCGCCGAGGUUGCCCCAGCCUCCCGCGACGCCGUUGGCCAGCCCCACCUUGGGCGACGAGAACAUGGAGCUCAUCCAGAACUGCGUGGACACGAAGGAGGCGAGCGAGAAGCCCGUGAAGAAGCGCACGAGCAGGAAGGACGACGCGGAGUCGAUGAUGGCCGAGCAGUACACCGCGGGGGUGGUGAGCAGUAUGAUGGCCGCGGACGCCAGGCGGGGCCCGACCAGGUCGCAGGCCGUGCCCAUGGCGAGACGCGCGAACACGGCGCCGGACACGGACGCGAUCCCGGCGUUGCCGAUGUCCUUGCCCGUGAGGCCAAGGUUGUCCCGGAUGAGCGGCAGGAGCGGCGGCGCCGCGAAGGUGGAGACGAAGCAGCAGAAGAAGGAGAACCACGAGAGGUGGAAGGCGCUCAUGUGCGGCCUCGCGAACGAGAAGAGCCAGAACUCGGUGGCCUUGUUGUCCGAGUCCACCGGCAUCCUGAACUUGCCCUUGGGCGCCGCCUGCACCCCCAUCGCCGCCGGCUUCGACUCCCCCUCCAUCUCACCAGCUAGCUAG
rnacentral:rRNA from 1 species